AAUACCUAGGAAUCUGCCUGGUAGUGGGGGAUAACGUUCGGAAACGGACGCUAAUACCGCAUACGUCCUACGGGAGAAAGCAGGGGACCUUCGGGCCUUGCGCUAUCAGAUGAGCCUAGGUCGGAUUAGCUAGUUGGUGAGGUAAUGGCUCACCAAGGCGACGAUCCGUAACUGGUCUGAGAGGAUGAUCAGUCACACUGGAACUGAGACACGGUCCAGACUCCUACGGGAGGCAGCAGUGGGGAAUAUUGGACAAUGGGCGAAAGCCUGAUCCAGCCAUGCCGCGUGUGUGAAGAAGGUCUUCGGAUUGUAAAGCACUUUAAGUUGGGAGGAAGGGUUGUAGAUUAAUACUCUGCAAUUUUGACGUUACCGACAGAAUAAGCACCGGCUAACUCUGUGCCAGCAGCCGCGGUAAUACAGAGGGUGCAAGCGUUAAUCGGAAUUACUGGGCGUAAAGCGCGCGUAGGUGGUUUGUUAAGUUGGAUGUGAAAUCCCCGGGCUCAACCUGGGAACUGCAUUCAAAACUGACUGACUAGAGUAUGGUAGAGGGUGGUGGAGUUUCCUGUGUAGCGGUGAAAUGCGUAGAUAUAGGAAGG
rnacentral:rRNA from 1 species